rnacentral:rRNA from 1 species
AGUGAACGCUGGCGGCGUGCUUAACACAUGCAAGUCGAACGAGAACGGAUUAUAGCUUGCUAUAAUUGUCAGCUAAGUGGCGCACGGGUGAGUAAUGUAUAGGUAAUAUGCCUCUUACUAAGGGAUAACAAAUGGAAACGUUUGCUAAUACCUUAUACUCCUUAUUAACAUAAGUUAAUAAGGGAAAGAUUUAUUGGUAAGAGAUUAGCCUGUAUUGUAUCAGUUAGUUGGUGGGGUAAUGGCUUACCAAGACUAUGACACAUAACUGGUUUGAGAGGAUGAUCAGUCACACUGGAACUGAGACACGGUCCAGACUCCUACGGGAGGCAGCAGUGGGGAAUAUUGCACAAUGGACGAAAGUCUGAUGCAGCAACGCCGCGUGGAGGAUGAUACAUUUCGGUGCGUAAACUCCUUUUAUAUGAGAAGAUAAUGACGGUAUUAUAUGAAUAAGCACCGGCUAACUCCGUGCCAGCCGCCGCGGUAAGAC